UUCCAAGCUUGAGUUUGAUCCUGGCUCAGAACGAACGUUAGCGGCGCGCCUGACACAUGCAAGUCGCACGAGAAAGGGAGCAAUCCCCGGUAAAGUGGCGCACGGGUGAGUAACACGUAGGUAAUCUACCUUUGAGUGGUGGAUAACGUUCCGAAAGGAACGCUAAUACAGCAUAAGACCACGACCCCGAAAGGGGAUGAGGUCAAAGCGGGCCUCUACUUGUAAGCUCGCGCUCGAAGAUGAGCCUGCGGCCCAUCAGCUUGUUGGUAGGGUAAUGGCCUACCAAGGCAAAGACGGGUAGCUGGUCUGAGAGGAUGAUCAGUCACACUGGAACUGAGACACGGUCCAGACUCCUACGGGAGGCAGCAGUGGGGAAUCUUGCGCAAUGGGCGAAAGCCUGACGCAGCGACGCCGCGUGAGUGAUGAAGGCCUUCGGGUUGUAAAGCUCUGUGGGGAGAGACGAAUAACGCAGCGCGAAUAGUUCUGCAGAUGACGGUAUCUCCUUAGCAAGCACCGGCUAACUCUGUGCCAGCAGCCGCGGUAAGACAGAGGGUGCAAACGUUGUUCGGAAUUACUGGGCGUAAAGCGCAUGUAGGCGGCCAAGCAGGUCGGAUGUGAAAUCCCUCGGCUCAACCAAGGAAGUGCAUUCGAAACCGCAUGGCUGGAGUCCCGGAGAGGGUGGUGGAAUUCUUGGUGUAGAGGUGAAAUUCGUAGAUAUCAAGAGGAACACCGGCGGCGAAGGCGGCCCCCUGGACGAGGACUGACGCU
rnacentral:rRNA from 1 species